GUAGCGCGGCAGUCUGAAACAACGAUCGCUCAAUGGCUUCAGGUGGGUAUCAAAACAACGUGAGAUCAAACUAUGUAGUACGAGUUUCAUGGGCACAAACGGGAGAUGAAAUGCUCGCUUUUUUAAAAUGUACCCAUUUUGCUGGUUUGUAUUUAGUUUGAGCUCACGUUGUUUUCAUAGCCACCUGACAACAUAGUGAAAGCUGCCUCAGAUUGGAGCUGAAUGAAGGGUGAGAGGCUGCGGUGCAGAUCCAAAACUCUUGGAAUUAAAAAAAAUGUUUCCUCACAAACGCCAUGGCUGGCACACAAGAUGACAUGCAGUGGGAGCAAGAUGUGAUGUUCAUGAUGCAAUGCAGGAGGGAUCCGAACUGGACCAAGUCAUCAAUGAUGAGUCCGACAGUGAUGCACCAAAGGCAUCUUCUCACCAGCAAGAAGUCCAAGAAUAUAAUGACAGCAUACAGAUAAAAAUAACUAAGGGUCAUGUACGUGUUGGCGCCUAUCUCAGCUGACUGGACAAGAGUCAGGAACUCCUAAACUGGUCGCCAGGCAAUCACAAAGCACAAGCACACAAAGACAACCCUUCACAGUCAUAGUCCCACCUACGGGCAAUUAUAUUCACAAUGUUUCUUCCUGCAUUAUGUGUUUCAGGGGGAUCAAAUCUUAUUCCGUUCAGUGACCAUUCAGCGUAGUGGAAACUUCAUUGUUGAUAAACUCAAGGCAUGAAAUUGGCUAUCAAACUAUGGCCACAACUCUAAAACAAAUUAAAUCUAAAUAAAAUAAAAUACACAUUCCUUGUCGGCCACCACACACGACUUUUCGCACCAAGGCAAUGGCGACAGAACGGCAUUUAACUCAUUCAUUAUAUUCAAUACGUCCAAUUGACCAACAAAUUAUGCCCACAACUCGAAAAUAUACAUCUUCCCAAAGUGUAAUGUUUAUUAUGUUAUUUGGUCUAUGUGUCUUGCUGUUUGCCGCCACCCUGUGAAUUAUUCCCAGUCGGAACGCGGUUAGAAAAGACGCCAUAAAUCCGGCAAAGCAGUGUUAUGGCAACCACCCUCGCAAUUGUUGCGGGAGCGAGGACGAAAGGAUUAGGAAAAUGUAUCCACGGGGAACGAUCACACGCCGUGGCCGCAUAUGAGGCACACUCGCCCCCC